UAUAUGUUUUUACUUUCGCCGUAUCAUAAACUUGGCGAAACACCAUGUUCCAGUACAUUUAUCAUUAAAAAUAAGAUACUAAGUUUCUAAAAGCACUGUUGUUGAGAAUAUCUUGAAAGGAAUGAUAGAGUCAAACAACUAAGAGUCGACAAGCUCACAGGACAAACAACUAUUUAAUCAUGCUACUCUAUCUGAUUCAAGCGAUCUCAGUGUACGCCAUAUUUAUCUUCACUAUUUGGAUUUCUGCCUACCUUCUAAUGGAAAAAGCAAUACGUUUCGUGCCAAUUAAAAGUGCAUUGCUGAAGACUGGCCAUUCCACCGCCGCCGACCUGGUAGCUGCAGAGGAGCACCUCGUGGACUUCCACUAGGAUCCAGGCAGCUGCAAGACUUCUUGA